UUAUCAUCUGAUUCACACUCUGAAGAGCAAUCAUCACCAAAAUCAAAAGGAGUAAGGACACCGCUAUCAAGUAUGAUUAAGGGAACUUGCAGAUCUCGUGCAAGUGCUCUAACUAUUCUCUCCCGAUAAAGCUCAGUACCUGGAAUGCUUUGAAGCAAUAUUCUCCCACUUGAAGACAUCAAACGAGCCCCAUAGGAAGCAGUGAAUUUCUUAUGUUUCAAAUGGGAAGCAACACAUUCCACCAAAACACUCUUGAUAUUCUCAUUAAUGUAGUACGGAAAAGUCUCCCAAGAAACAUGUAUUCUCUCCCAUGGAAUAAC
rnacentral:misc_RNA from 1 species